GGUGCCUGCCUUAUGGUAGGAACCGCGAGACAGGUGCUGCAUGGUUGUCGUCAGCUCGUGUCGUGAGAUGUUGGGUUAAGUCCCGCAACGAGCGCAACCCCUACCCUUAGUUGCCAGCGUAAAGACGGGCACUCUAAGGGGACUGCCAUCGACAAGAUGGAGGAAGGUGGGGAUGACGUCAAAUCAUCAUGGCCUUUAUGCCCUGGGCUACACACGUGCUACAAUGGGCGGUACAAAGGGA
rnacentral:rRNA from 1 species